rnacentral:lncRNA from 1 species
AGUGCACAUACAUGUGCACAGUCAUACAUACAAAACACCCAUAUACAUAAAACAAAUCUUAAAAAGAAAGAGCAUCUCAGAGAUCAUGGCUUUAGCCUGGAUCUUCCUCCUCUGUGUGACUUAGUAGUUUUGAUUAGAAGAGAAAAAGACAAAAAGAGCCAACUGCUCAGAUGUAAUUUGAGUGGCUUUUCCUCUUUGUCUUGAACUCCUGUUGCUUCCUGUUUGGGGGGUGAAGACAUAACUAAUUUUCAACGUAAAGAGCAUAGGUAGGGUCCUUCCUAACAGCAAGCCCACGGGUGUCCUCACCUAACAGUAAGCCCACGGGUGUCCUGACCUCACGGUGUCCUGACCUUGGGGAUAGAGGGGAACAGAAGCAGGAGGUGGCAAGCGUCGGAGGGUUGGACUUGUUUCCAGCCAUGGCUGGGGGUGGGGGUUGGGGGGAUAGGAGAGAUGGGUAUUCUUCUGUCCUCAGAGACAGCUGCUAACUACACCAGGGACUGUACACUCACUCAGGCCCCUGCCUCUAGAGUGAUCUACCUCUCUCGUCCUGUGAAACUAUAGUUUUGGGGAAAAGUUUUUAGCACUCAGGUUGUGACUUGCUAGUACCAAGCCCCCACCUUGGCUAUUCGUGGAAAGGAACAAAUUGCAUAUAGAGCACAUACCGAGAAAGUAGGGUUUAGUUCCUCCAGGCCGCUGCAGCUAAAACACUGUGAAUCGGGCAGCUAAUGAGCAACAGCAAUGUAUCUUCCAAAGUUCUGCAGGCCUAGGAGUCCUGGAAGGCACUGGCAGAUGAGGCUGGAGUCUGGCAAGGACAUAAUUUUGGUCCUCAGCUGCUAUUUCUUCACACGGAGAAGAGCAGAACCAGCCUCUGCAGCCUUGGUUCUGAACCACUCAUCCUGUCCUGCCCAUCCUCCUAGCAACCUCAAGGCUUCUCCUAACUGUCAGCAGGUUAGCAUUGAGCACACGGGGAUGGGGUAGGCAGGGAGCCAGCUUCUGUGUCAGGAGGCAACUCUUGGGAAAGGGUGCUCACAGGGAGAGUUCCAUCCUUGCACAGGCGCCUGAUCACACCGCGCUCCGCCAGCCUUGCUCCCGGCCUGUCCUGCAUUCUGCGGUUUCCCUGUGACUGUGGUGUUGUCUUUGCAGGAAGAAAAGGACAAGGUGCAAGCGCAGAAGGAGGAGGUUCUCAGCCACAUGAACGACUUGCUGGAGAACGAGCUCCAGUGCAUUAUCUGCUCGGAGUACUUUAUUGAGGUAAGUGUGCGGUGCUCACCCCCACCCUGGUGCACCGGCCUCUGGCACCAGGGGAUCAUUCUUUAGACAAGACUCGGUCCUCACUGUGCUGCCCCUCCUUAGACACUUACAUGCACAGUUACCGUUUAACUGCAGUGAAACUCCGGGGGCCACUGAGCCUGAGGGUUUGAAGUGUUGGGAAUAUAACUGCCCACUGCUGCUGCUGUUCCUUUCCUCUGGGUGGGCACGGCGCGCUGUGUGGACUUGUGGUUUGGCUUUGAAGCAGAGUAGUGAGUGCCAUUGAUUGUGUGGUCACUGUGGGUAUCAGGCACCAGAAUGAAUUUAUUUCAUGGCUUUGUGGGUCCUUUUGAAAAGCAAACACCCAGCCAGGCAUGAUGGCCCACGCCUUUAAUCCCAGCACUCGGGAAGCAGAGGCAGGCCGAUUUCUGAGUUCGAGGCCAGCCUGGUCUACAAGGUGAGUGCCAGGACAGCCAGGGCUACACAGAGAAACCCUGUCUGGAAAGAACCAAACC